rnacentral:rRNA from 1 species
CCUACGGGAGGCAGCAGUGAGGAAUAUUGGUCAAUGGGCGGGAGCCUGAACCAGCCAAGUCGCGUGAGGGAAGACGGUCCUAUGGAUUGUAAACCUCUUUAGGCGGGGAGCAAUGCCGGGCACGCGUGCCCGGAGGGAGAGUACCCGCAGAAUAAGCAUCGGCUAACUCCGUGCCAGCAGCCGCGGUAAUACGGAGGAUGCGAGCGUUAUCCGGAUUUAUUGGGUUUAAAGGGUGCGUAGGCGGAUUUUUAAGUCAGCGGUAAAAUGUCCGGGCUCAACCCGGGCCGGCCGUUGAAACUGGGGAUCUGGAGUGGGGGAGAAGUAUGCGGAAUGCGUGGUGUAGCGGUGAAAUACAUAGAUAUCACGCAGAACUCCGAUUGCGAAGGCAGCAUACCGGCGCCCGACUGACGCUGAGGCACGAAAGCGUGGGGAUCGAACAGGAUUAGAUACCCCUGUAGUC